GACGAACGCUGGCGGCGUGCCUAAUACAUGCAAGUAGAACGCUGAAGCUUGGUGCUUGCACCGAGCGGAUGAGUUGCGAACGGGUGAGUAACGCGUAGGUAACCUGCCUGGUAGCGGGGGAUAACUAUUGGAAACGAUAGCUAAUACCGCAUAAAAUGGAUUAUCGCAUGAUAAUCCAUUGAAAGGUGCAAAUGCAUCACUACCAGAUGGACCUGCGUUGUAUUAGCUAGUUGGUGGGGUAACGGCUCACCAAGGCGACGAUACAUAGCCGACCUGAGAGGGUGAUCGGCCACACUGGGACUGAGACACGGCCCAGACUCCUACGGGAGGCAGCAGUAGGGAAUCUCCGGCAACGGACGGAAGUCUGACCGAGCAACGCCGCGUGAGUGAAGAAGGUUUUCGGAUCGUAAAGCUCUGUUGUAAGAGAAGAACGAGUGUGAGAGUGGAAAGUUCACACUGUGACGGUUCUUACCAGAAAGG
rnacentral:rRNA from 1 species